rnacentral:rRNA from 1 species
GAUGAACGCUGGCGGCGUGCCUAAUACAUGCAAGUCGAGCGAACAGACGAGGAGCUUGCUCCUCUGACGUUAGCGGCGGACGGGUGAGUAACACGUGGAUAACCUACCUAUAAGACUGGGAUAACUUCGGGAAACCGGAGCUAAUACCGGAUAAUAUAUUGAACCGCAUGGUUCAAUAGUGAAAGACGGUUUUGCUGUCACUUAUAGAUGGAUCCGCGCCGGAUUAGCUAGUUGGUAAGGUAACAGCUUACCAAGGCAACGAUGCGUAGCCGAAGUGAGGGGGUGAUCGGCCACACUGGAGCUGAGACACGGUCCUGGCGCCUGCGGGAGGCAGCAGUAGGGAAUCUGCCGCAAUGGGCGAGAGCCUGACGGAGCAACGCCGCGUGAGAUAUGAAGGUCUUCGGAUCGUAAAACUCUGUUAUUAGGGAAGAACAAAUGUGUAAGUAACUAUGCACGUCUUGACGGUACCUAAUCAGAAAGCAACGGCUAACUACGUG